ACGCUGGCGGCGUGCCUAAUACAUGCAAGUCGAACGAGAGCGACCGGUGCUUGCACUGGUCAAUCUAGUGGCGAACGGGUGAGUAACACGUGGGUAACCUGCCCAUCAGAGGGGGAUAACAUUCGGAAACGGAUGCUAAAACCGCAUAGGUCCUUUAACCGCAUGGUUGAAGGAGGAAAAGAGGCGCAAGCUUCUGCUGAUGGAUGGACCCGCGGUGCAUUAGCUAGUUGGUGAGGUAACGGCUCACCAAGGCCGUGAUGCAUAGCCGACCUGAGAGGGUGAUCGGCCACAUUGGGACUGAGACACGGCCCAAACUCCUACGGGAGGCAGCAGUAGGGAAUCUUCCGCAAUGGACGCAAGUCUGACGGAGCAACGCCGCGUGAGUGAAGAAGGUUUUCGGAUCGUAAAACUCUGUUGUUAGAGAAGAACAAGUGCUAGAGUAACUGUUAGCGCCUUGACGGUAUCUAACCAGAAAGCCACGGCUAACUACGUGCCAGCAGCCGCGGUAAUACGUAGGUGGCAAGCGUUGUCCGGAUUUAUUGGGCGUAAAGCGAGCGCAGGCGGUUCCUUAAGUCUGAUGUGAAAGCCCCCGGCUCAACCGGGGAGGGUCAUUGGAAACUGGGGAACUUGAGUGCAGAAGAGGAGAGUGGAAUUCCAUGUGUAGCGGUGAAAUGCGUAGAUAUAUGGAGGAACACCAGUGGCGAAGGCGACUCUCUGGUCUGUAACUGACGCUGAGGCUCGAAAGCGUGGGUAGCAAACAGGAUUAGAUACCCUGGUAGUCCACGCCGUAAACGAUGAGUGCUAAGUGUUGGAGGGUUUCCGCCCUUCAGUGCUGCAGUUAACGCAUUAAGCACUCCGCCUGGGGAGUACGACCGCAAGGUUGAAACUCAAAGGAAUUGACGGGGACCCGCACAAGCGGUGGAGCAUGUGGUUU
rnacentral:rRNA from 1 species